rnacentral:rRNA from 1 species
AUUGAACGCUGGCGGCAGGCUUAACACAUGCAAGUCGAGCGGAGAUGAGGUGCUUGCACCUUAUCUUAGCGGCGGACGGGUGAGUAAUGCUUAGGAAUCUGCCUAUUAGUGGGGGACAACAUUCCGAAAGGAAUGCUAAUACCGCAUACGUCCUACGGGAGAAAGCAGGGGAUCUUCGGACCUUGCGCUAAUAGAUGAGCCUAAGUCGGAUUAGCUAGUUGGUGGGGUAAAGGCCUACCAAGGCGACGAUCUGUAGCGGGUCUGAGAGGAUGAUCAGCCACACUGGGACUGAGACACGGCCCAGACUCCUACGGGAGGCAGCAGUGGGGAAUAUUGGACAAUGGGGGGAACCCUGAUCCAGCCAUGCCGCGUGUGUGAAGAAGGCCUUAUGGUAGUAAAGCACUUUAAGCGAGGAGGAGGCUACUGAGACUAAUACUCUUGGAUAGUGGACGUUACUCGCAGAAUAAGCACCGGCUAACUCUGUGCCAGCAGCCGCAGUAA